rnacentral:rRNA from 1 species
UGGUUGUCGUCAGCCCGUGUCGUGAGAUGUUGGGUUAAGUCCCGCAACGAGCGCAACCCUUGAUCUUAGUUGCCAUCAUUAAGUUGGGCACUCUAAGGUGACUGCCGGUGACAAACCGGAGGAAGGUGGGGAUGACGUCAAAUCAUCAUGCCCCUUAUGACCUGGGCUACACACGUGCUACAAUGGACGGUACAAAGAGCUGCAAGACCGCGAGGUGGAGCUAAUCUCAUAAAACCGUUCUCAGUUCGGAUUGUAGGCUGCAACUCGCCUACAUGAAGCUGGAAUCGCUAGUAAUCGCGGAUCAG